rnacentral:misc_RNA from 1 species
GGAGGAGAAGUUUGAGAUUCUUCAGUCACAGCAGCUGAAAGUGAUAUAGAUUUGUAAGAAAUUGAUUUGAGCUUCGAUGAGUUAAAUCUAGAAGAAGAUGUGAAGUGCUGUAAAAGAGGAAAUUGAGUGAAAAUUUGAGUUUUUUUGAGUUGAAAUUGGAAGGUUCCAGAAAGGGGAAACAGAGAUUUUGGAAGCCAUUGUUGAUGAUGAU